rnacentral:rRNA from 1 species
AUGUCACGGUUGAGAGAGCAUUUUGUGUACUUGCUUCUAAAAUUGGUAUUGAUUCUACCAGUGGCAACAGAAAAUGUUGAGAGAGCAUUUUCUGCCAUUAGUUUAGUCAAAAACAAGUUGAGAAAUAAGAUGGGUGAUAGUCUUUUGGAUGAUUGCCUGGUCACGUACAUUGAGCAGGAUAUUUUCUCUGAGGUGAAUGAAGAUGCCAUAAUUGAUACUUUCAGGGCCAUGCAGAAGCGUACGUCGGAAACAUAG